rnacentral:rRNA from 1 species
AACAAACGCUGGCGGCGCGUUUUAAGCAUGCAAGUCGAACGGCAAGAGCUGUAGCAAUAUGGCUCCUAGAGUGGCGAACGGGUGAGUAACACGUAGGUGAUCUGCCCUUGGAUGGGGGAUAGUCCGUGGAAACACGGGGUAAUACCGCAUGAGGCCUUGUGGGUAGAGCCAUGAGGUGAAAGGUGCAAUUGCACCGUUUGGGGAUGAGCCUGCGGUCCAUUAGGUAGUUGGCGGGGUAAGGGCCCACCAAGCCUACGAUGGAUAGCCGGCCUGAGAGGGUGUACGGCCACACUGGAACUGAGACACGGUCCAGACUCCUACGGGAGGCAGCAGCUAAGAAUCUUCCGCAAUGGGGGAAACCCUGACGGAGCGACGCCGCGUGGACGAUGGAGGCCGUAAGGUUGUAAAGUCCUUUUCCUGGUGAAGAAUGACUGGAGGAGUGGAAAGCCUCUGGGAUGACGUUAGCCAGGGAAUAAGCCCCGGCCAAUUACGUGCCAGCCGCCGCUGUAACAC